AUGCAGCCGCCUUUAAGCAGAGGGCGCAUCUCAGUCUCCAUAAAGCUUCACCAGGGCCGCGCCAGGGCGGUGGUGGCUGGAGAGUCCAGGGGCUGCUUAGGGACAAUGGGAAGCAGCCGGCGUCAACGUCGGCUCACCCAGAGGACCUACGUCCGGCGUCGCGCAGGCAGGGAUCAGAGCAGGGAGCGCGCAGAACACCACGGAGAUCGACCAGCCGACUCCGCAUCAGGUGCCGGGCGUACGCCUGGGGCGCUCCUCCCGGGUGGGCGUCCUAGUAGCACCACACAGCCAGGGAGAACAUCUCCUGCUCCCCCUGCUCUCAGCUGGCUAAGACCCUCCAGCGGUCAGCAAAGGGGGCCAGGCUGGUGCCCAAGUUUCUGCAGAUCCCCUCCUGAGAGAGGGGAGGAGUGCCCACCCCGCUCCUGCCAGGGCUCUGCAGGCCCCCGGGCUUCACUUCUGCAUUGCGACAGAGCGGAGCUGGUGGAUCUACCGGCGAGAGACGCCCAUUUCUCCUGAGCCAGGAAUUUUACACUCCGAGGAUGAGAAGGCUUCUCCCAGCCUAGCCUGCAACGCUCUCUUCUGAUUUUAUGUGAGCUUUUACCCUAAUAAACCUUUUAAAAUAUACACUAAUUGUGUUUAUUGUAUUCUUUUGUUAUCACGUGUGUCGUUAUGGGCAUGGCUCUCCCUGGGGUCUCAGGGCCUUUCCCAGCCUCACGCUGUGUUGUCUGUCCCUGUGGCUGUGUGUGGCUCUGUGUCCCUGUGUGUGUAUCUGUGCGUCCCUGUGUCUGUGUGUGGCUCUGUGUCCCUGUGUGUGUGUCUGGGUGUUCCUGUGGCUGUGUGUGUCUGUGUGUCCCUGUGGCUGUGUGUAUCUGUGUGUCCCUGUGAGUGUGUGUCUGUGUGUCCCAGUGAGUGUGUGUGUCUAUGUGUCCCUGUGUAUAUGUCUGUGUGUCCUUGUGUGUGUGUCUGUGUCUCCCUGUGGCCCUGUGUGUGUGUGUCUGCGUGUCCCUGUGAGUGUGUGUCUGUGGCCCUGUGUGUGUGUAUCUGUGUGUCCCUGUGGCUGUGUGUGUCUAUGUGUCCCUGUGGGUGUGUGUGUCUGUGUGUCCC
rnacentral:lncRNA from 1 species